rnacentral:tRNA from 1 species
UCCUUCUUAGUUCAGUUGGUGCUUCUUUAUUGGGAAGAACGCCGGACUGUUAAUCCAUAUGUCACUAGUUCAAGUCCAGUAGAGUGAA